rnacentral:rRNA from 1 species
GACGAACGCUGGCGGCGUGCUUAACACAUGCAAGUCGAACGGAAAGGCCCUGCUUUUGUGGGGUGCUCGAGUGGCGAACGGGUGAGUAACACGUGAGUAACCUGCCCUUGACUUUGGGAUAACUUCAGGAAACUGGGGCUAAUACCGGAUAGGAGCUCCUGCUGCAUGGUGGGGGUUGGAAAGUUUCGGCGGUUGGGGAUGGACUCGCGGCUUAUCAGCUUGUUGGUGGGGUAGUGGCUUACCAAGGCUGUGACGGGUAGCCGGCCUGAGAGGGUGACCGGCCACAAUGGGACUGAGAGACGGACCAGAGUCCUACGGGAGGCAGUAGUGGGGAAUAUUGUACAAUGGGCGGAAGCCUGAUGAAGAAACGCCGCGUGCGGGAUGACGGCCUUCGGGUUGUAAACCGCUUUCGCCUGUGACGAAGCGUGAGUGACGGUAAUGGGUAAAGAAGCACCGGCUAACUACGUG